GUCCUCCUCUGACGCAGGUGUCACGGCAGGUGAGCCGAGUGUUUAACGAGACUCCGGUGAAAAAAACAACACAAACAAAACGGGAAGCGUUGGAAACAGAGACGAGACAAACAAACAGCAGCUUCUUUAUCAAACCGGACGAACGGAGGAACUAAAGGACGUUAAUCCGGAGUCUGAGCUUCACGCAGAGGAUCGGAGGACCGGACUAACUUCGGGAUGUAAUUAGCAUCACGGCAGCCGAGCGUGCCUGGAGGAACACUCGCCUGGAUCGAGAAGAGGUGAUGGAGGUGGAGCUGGAGCUGGUGGACAUCCUGUCGUUCUUGCCUUCGCCAUCUGACUUCUCGUCGGCGCUCAGCGAGUCCACGUCGCCAUCGCUGCCGAGCACGUAGCCCAGAGCCUGCAGCGCCUGAGGA